rnacentral:rRNA from 1 species
CCUACGGGUGGCAGCAGUGAGGGAUAUUGGUCAAUGGGGGAAACCCUGAACCAGCAACGCCGCGUGAGGGAAGACGGUUUUCGGAGUGUAAACCUCUGUCCUCGGGGAAGAGAAUGACGGUAGCAGAGGAGGAAGCUCCGGCUAACUACGGGCCAGCAGCCGCGGUAAGACGUAGGGAGCAAGCGUUGUCCGGAUUUACUGGGUGUAAAGGGGGCGUCGGCGGGCUUGCAAGUCAGAAGUGAAAUCUAGGGGCUUAACCCAUCAACUGCUUUUGAAACUGUAAGUCUUGAGUGAAGUAGAGGUCGGCGCAAUUCCCGGUGUAGCGGUGACAUGCUUCGAGAUUGGGAGGAACACCAGUGGCGAAGGCGGCCUACUGGGCUUUACCUGCCGCUGAGGCACGCCAGCGUGGGUAGCACACCGGCUUAGAUACCCUUGUAGUC